rnacentral:sRNA from 1 species
AUUUGCAGCUAUUUGGGAAGCUGAGGCAGGAGAAUAGCUUGAACCUAGGAGGCGGAGGCUGCAGUGAGUUGAGAUUACACUACUGCACUCCAGCCCAGGUGACAGAGCGAGACUCUGUCUUAAAAAAGAAAAAAAUUAGAGUCCAGAAUUUUCUCCAGAUGCUUUCAAAAAGCUAGACAUUCUGUAUACAUAAAUGACUAAAAAGUUUAUAGAUGUAGAAAAAUUAAUACAGGUUUUACAUGUGCAUUUAGUAAAUUCAGAAUUUGAAUUUUUCUUUUUAUUUGCAGCUCAGAUCGUCUGAUAGAAGAGACAAUAAGCAUUGCUAUGGCAACAAAAGAAAAUAUGACUUCACAGAGAGGAAUGUUGAAGUCAAUUCACAGCAAAAUGAACACUUUGGCCAAUCGUUUUCCUGCUGUAAACAGCCUGAUCCAGAGGAUCAACCUGAGGAAGCGGCGGGACUCGCUCAUCCUAGGGGGUGUUAUUGGGAUCUGUACCAUCCUGUUGCUGCUGUAUGCGUUCCAUUGAUGGGACAUCUUCAGGGACUCUUGACAACCACCGCUUUCACACCCUGGUCUGGAAUAAGGAAACGUCGGAGGGAGAAGUUGACUGUCUUGAUAAUUAGCCUGACCAGCAGGAUGAAUGCAAGACUGACAGUGAUGGACUCUGUGACAUGGUCAGGUUGAGCUGAAGCCACAGUUUCUCUGUGCUGUGUUUUCUAACACAUUUUUCUGUUUUUAAUU